UACGUAGGGUGCGAGCGUUGUCCGGAAUUAUUGGGCGUAAAGAGCUCGUAGGCGGUGAGUCACGUCGGCCGUGAAAACCUGCAGCUUAACUGUGGGCGUGCGGUCGAUACGGGCAUCACUGGAGUUCGGCAGGGGAGACUGGAAUUCCUGGUGUAGCGGUGAAAUGCGCAGAUAUCAGGAGGAACACCGGUGGCGAAGGCGGGUCUCUGGGCCGAUACUGACGCUGAGGAGCGAAAGCGUGGGGAGCAAACAGG
rnacentral:rRNA from 1 species